rnacentral:rRNA from 1 species
UACGUAGGGUGCGAGCGUUGUCCGGAAUUAUUGGGCGUAAAGAGCUCGUAGGCGGUUUGUCGCGUCGACUGUGAAAACCUACAGCUUAACUGUGGGCUUGCAGUCGAUACGGGCAGACUUGAGUUCGGUAGGAGAGACUGGAAUUCCUGGUGUAGCGGUGAAAUGCGCAGAUAUCAGGAGGAACACCGGUGGCGAAGGCGGGUCUCUGGGCCGAUACUGACGCUGAGGAGCGAAAGCUAGGGGAGCGAACGGG